rnacentral:tRNA from 1 species
AGUCGUGUGGCCGAGAGGAUAGGUAUGGGUCUGCAAAACCUUCAACGGUAGUUCGAAUCUACCCACGACGU